CGCGUAGGCGGUUUUUUAAGUCUGAUGUGAAAGCCCACGGCUCAACCGUGGAGGGUCAUUGGAAACUGUAAAACUUGAGUGCAGAAGAGGAAAGUGGAAUUCCAUGUGUAGCGGUGAAAUGCGCAGAGAUAUGAAGGAACACCAGUGGCGAAGGCGACUUUCUGGUCUGUAACUGACGCUGAUGUGCGAAAGCGUGGGGAUCAAACA
rnacentral:rRNA from 1 species